rnacentral:rRNA from 1 species
AUUGAACGCUGGCGGCAUGCCUUACACAUGCAAGUCGAACGGUAACGCGGGGCAACCUGGCGACGAGUGGCGAACGGGUGAGUAAUAUAUCGGAACGUGCCCAGUUGUGGGGGAUAACUGCUCGAAAGAGCAGCUAAUACCGCAUACGACCUGAGGGUGAAAGCGGGGGAUCGCAAGACCUCGCGCAAUUGGAGCGGCCGAUAUCAGAUUAGGUAGUUGGUGGGGUAAGGCCUAACAAGCCGACGAUCUGUAGCUGGUCUGAGAGGACGACCAGCCACACUGGGACUGAGACACGGCUCAGACCCCGACGGGAGGCAGCAGUGGGGAAUUUUGGACAAUGGGGGCAACCCUGAUCCAGCCAUGCCGCGUGCGGGAAGAAGGCCUUCGGGUUGUAAACCGCUUUUGUCAGGGAAGAAAAGACUCCUACUAAUACUGGGGGUUCAUGACGGUACCUGAAGAGUAAGCACCGGCUAACUACGUGCCAGCCGCCGCAGUAACAC